ACAAAAAUACACACCAGCCUCGGAAUUUCAGAACUGUUAUCUUUAUUUCACAACCAUGUUUGAUUAUUUUUCUCCUCUCAAAUUGAUUCUUCGCAAUCACAAACCCAACAGAACAACCUCAGUAGCACGACGUCUAUUAUUGUUCUCCUUCAACAAUCAGCAAUCACCGUAAACAGGUCAGACAAUUUUGGAUUCGCAUGUAAUUUUUGGCGCUGGAAUUACAUAUUAUUUAUAGUUCAUAACUCCAGGUUUUUAGUUGAGCUAAAGGAAGGAUUCAUCAAAAUGCUAAGUUCAUCAUAUCCAGAUAAUUAAUCAAGCCUCGCAAGUUGGUUGAAAUUCUGAGACAGGGCUGACCACAAGUGGGAAGAUCCAGAAUGUGUUGGCGGCCACAAAUGAUCUGUAAUCUGUAUCAAACAAAAGGAGCUACCCCGAGUAGGUAAGGUUUUGACUAUUAGAAAUCACUGCCCUAUUAAAAAACGACCACAAGUCUCUUUAAAUAGCAUUUCAAAGUUCCAAAGAGUAAUUGCUUAAGAGUUUCCAGAUAAAGACAAGGAUCAUGUAUGCUAAAUCAUCGUGUCCAUAAGGCUGCAUGGAAUCCCUACGAUCAUGAAUGAGUUAACAUGUUUAGAUACUCCUUGGUUUGUAUAAGAUUCAAUACCCUUCCGAUGUCUCAAGUUCAGGCAUACAUUUUUUCUUAUUCAAGUUUUCUUCUUUAGGAGUGUUGUUAUUCAGCUUCUUAAAAUACAGGUAGUUUGGUACCAUAAAUGCUCCGAUUAAUUUGCUGUAUUUGUAUAGUAUAAUAAGAUAUUUGAUAAACGUACUGUACAUGCUUUGCAGAGUAGGUCCUUGCAUAUAAAAAAUUUAGUAGAAAAUGAGAUUUAGAAUACAGCCUAUAUGGACGCCAAAA